GAUGAACGCUGGCGGCGUGCCUAAUACAUGCAAGUCGAGCGAACAGACGAGGAGCUUGCUCCUCUGACGUUAGCGGCGGACGGGUGAGUAACACGUGGAUAACCUACCUAUAAGACUGGGAUAACCUCGGGAAACCGGAGCUACUACCGGAUAAUAUAUUGAACCGCAUGGUUCAAUAGUGAAAGACGGUUUUGCUGUCACUUAUAGAUGGAUCCGCGCCGCAUUAGCUAGUUGGUAAGGUAACGGCUUACCAAGGCAACGAUGCGUAGCCGACCUGAGAGGGUGAUCGGCCACACUGGAACUGAGACACGGUCCAGACGCCUACGGGAGGCAGCAGUAGGGAAUCUUCCGCAAUGGGCGAAAGCCUGACGGAGCAACGCCGCGUGAGUGAUGAAGGUCUUCGGAUCGUAAAACUCUGUUAUUAGGGAAGAACAAAUGUGUAAGUGACUAUGCACGUCUUGACGGUAACUAAUCAGAAAGCCACGGCUAACUACGUGCCAGCCGCCGCCGUAA
rnacentral:rRNA from 1 species